rnacentral:sRNA from 1 species
AAAAAAAAAUAUAAUUAAAUAUUCCCAUAAAUAUCUAACUAAACCAACCAAUAACAUAAUAAUUAAAUUACAAGUCAUAAAUACUAUUUUAUGAAUAAAUAAAUAAUUCGAUCAACAAAACCAAGAAUAACUGAUAAUCCUAACCAGGUUCCAAUAACCAAAAACACCAAACAUAAAACAAACGAGUUCCUAGAUCAUCCUCUUUUCCUUGCCAUGAUUUCACAAUCACACUUUAUCUUUACCUGCAUCAACAACACAAUGAGAUGAGUAAGUAUUAUCAUAAAUACUUAGUGAGACGAUCCUCCCAUCUACGAGCUAUACACACAAGCAAAUAAAAAGGUAUAAUCACGAAUACAAUACAAACAAACCAGUCAUUGAACAAUUCACCCAAAACACAUUCACCAUACCUACAUAUCAUCACACAAAACAAAUCACACAACCCAAUCGCUCAGAUAAGCUCAUGGUCACGCACUCACCUUAACAAAUUGAUUCUAAUAGCAAUUAAACCCAGGAGAGACUCUCCUUGCGUCUGAAACAGUCCAGAAACGUCCUGCAACAAGUCCACAACCAAAAGCAACCUUGAAGCAAACUGGACAGGAAAACCAGAAACAAACCGUCUCAAAGACGAAACCUACAAUACAAGCUAACCGUUAACUAUUCAAUCGCUCCGGUGAAAUCCUAGCUGCAGACGUCAGAAAGCUGCCCACAAAAUCUCGUGCCGAUCGGAAAACAGACGAGACCACGAUCUCAGUUUCAAUCUUCGCUGUUCCUAAUUCGCGUAUGAGAAAACGUGUCUCACGAAACUGCGAAUAACUCAACCAAGUUUAAUCCAAAUUCAAUUCUGUAAACUGGAGAAUAACGAUAAAGGACUUGGGAAUACCUCUACCAAAUUUCGUUACCUUUUACCACGAUUUUAUAUGACGAAACUGAUUUCUCCCAAACCCUAACGAUUCUGCUCCUUCUCCUUUUCUCUCUUUUUCUCCUUUAUAAAACGAAAAGUGGCUAACUAAAGCCCUAAUUUCGAGUUUCCUUAUUUUAUAGGCACACUUUAGGGUUUCCAAUUAACCCAACCAAUUAAACCGGAUGAUUUAAAAACAAACCCUAACCGAUUUUCCGGUUCACGGGCGUUACAAAUUAUUACUUAAAUGGGUUAACCCAUUUAACAACUCAGCCCAUCAAAUUAAAUGAGUUAUGGGUUGACCCAACCCAUUUUGUUAAAUGGGUUGGGUCAACCCAUAACUCAUUUAACCCUAAACUCAUUUGAUUAUGAGUUGAGUUGAGUUGGGUUACCCAUUUUGACAUCCCUAUACGUACAUAACAUUUUUCAAAAGUAUGAGAACAACUAUACUUUAACAAUAUAUUUUUAUUUAAUUAUUAUAUAUAAAUAGAUUUAUGAAAAAAAAACCAAAAAAUAAUCAAAUGUUUCUAAUGUAUAAACUCAAUAAAUAUUGUGUAUGUCGCCUUUAAUAAAACAUAAUCUAACAUAUUUACAUGUCCACAUAUAUGUACACCGUAAAUUGCAUAUACAUACACAUAAGAAAUUUAAUGAAGGGUAUAAUUGUAAUGAAUGUGUACGGAAUUCUCAUCCUCUGUCUAUCUAUCCUCGUAGACAAUUGUUAGAAAUU